GCAUGGGCAACAGAGCACUGAUAUCCUCACAGGGUGGGUGAAGAGCUGAGGAAUUAAAGGUAGCUCCUCCAGUCUGAGCUGCUCCUUGCAGAACUUCCUCUGCAUAAAGGUUGUUUGCACCUAGAGCAGCCCUGUCCAUUGUGCACCCUCUCCUCAAGAGACCAGUGGAGGCACUUUUUACAUUCCAAGCCCUGCGCUGCAGCCUCCCCUCCUCCUCAGGAUGGAGGUUCCCAGACUCUGUGCAUUGAAGCGUCCUCUCUGGAGCUGCUCACCUUGGCAAAACAAGAAGAAGAAUAUGCCUUCUGUACUGAGCAAAAUGUUUGAGAAACAAAAUUUCUUCACAAUACUCCAAGAGGGCAUUUAGUUCAGUGUGUGGAUUUUCUUCUCUUUGGCCACCAAACACCUGUGAGAAUGGAGAAAACAGCUUCUCCCACUUGGAUACCAGCUUCCCAGCUCCUGCCACCUGGAAGGGGGAGUUUUACUCCAUAGACGCUCACCUGGCUUAUGUUGGAACUGGGGUGGGAACUCAGCACUCCUGUGACUCAAAACCAAGCUAUAGGCUGGAAGGACACAACCUACACUGGGCUAUGGGGCAAGAAGGAUGGGAUCUUAUCCUCCUGAACUCAUCCAGAACACUGAGCCAUGAAUCAGGUGAGGCAGAGUGCUCCUUCCUGGUGUACAAGCAUGUGUCAGUGACUGGGAUCCUGUUAGGAUUCAUCUGCUUGACCAUUGAUGCAGACUGA
rnacentral:lncRNA from 14 species